rnacentral:rRNA from 1 species
CCUACGGGUGGCAGCAGUGGGGAAUCUUGGGCAAUGGGCGCAAGCCUGACCCAGCAACGCCGCGUGAAGGAAGAAGGCUUUCGGGUUGUAAACUUCUUUUCAGAGGGAAGAGCAGAAGACGGUACCUCUUGAAUAAGCCACGGCUAACUACGUGCGAGCCGCCGCGGUAAUCCGUAGGUGGCAAGCGUUGUCCGGAUUUACUGGGUUUAAAGGGUGCGUAGGCUGUGAGGUAAGUCAGCGGUGAAAUGCCCCCGCUCAACGGGGUGAAGUGCCAUUGAUACUGCCUUGCUGGAAUGCGGAUGCGGUGGGAGGAAUGUGUGGUGUAGCGGUGAAAUGCAUAGAUAUCACACAGAACACCGAUUGCGAAGGCAUCUCACGAAUCCGCGAUUGACGCUGAUGCACGAAAGCGUGGGUAUCAAACAGGAUUAGAUACCCUAGUAGUC